rnacentral:rRNA from 1 species
UACGUAGGGUGCAAGCGUUAAUCGGAAUUACUGGGCGUAAAGCGUGCGCAGGCGGUUUUGUAAGUCUGACGUGAAAUCCCCGGGCUUAACCUGGGAAUUGCGUUGGAGACUGCAAGGCUGGAGUCUGGCAGAGGGGGGGUAGAAUUCCACGUGUAGCAGUGAAAUGCGUAGAGAUGUGGAGGAACACCGAUGGCGAAGGCAGCCCCCUGGGUCAAGAUUGACGCUCAUGCACGAAAGGCGUGGGGAGCAAACAGGA